ACAGAGAGAGACGUGGGGAAAAAAAGAAGAGAAAAACACUCGACAACACUGGCAGCUGCCGGCAGCUAGUGGCUACGGGGAAUUACAGAUUCUUGUGCAGAGAGAGACGUGGGGAAGAGAGAGUGGAGAAAACCACUCGACAACGCCGGCAGCUCCCGGCUGGUAGUGGCCACGGGGAAUUACAGUGUUAAGUAUGAGGAUAUGACCUUUGGACAUAUACAGAGAUAAACAGGAGAGAAACAGAAGGACAGCAGACUAUCUUCCCCACCUCCACAAAAGAACUGCAAUCAACAAACUACAGUGAGUUACCUAAUCCACUACCACCAACGCCUGCAGCCUGCACAGCCUGGACACUGACCUCCCUGUCUGAUUAAGUAACAGGCAUACUGCUCUCACACAUUGCUUUUUGCACCUCAUUUAUUCUAUCUACGACCACUGUGUAACAUUCUCAGCCUUUCUGUUCCUUCCAUUAUUUACCAAAAAAGCCGGUUUGCACUGUCUCUGCUUUUACAACACCCCCAUUCUCAUUGUUCAUUCUAUAUUACACCCACUCCAUUCUAUAUUAUUCCUCUGAACAACACUACUGUAAUGGGAUUAUGGCUCCUCAAUCCUGUUCCAUACCAAUCCUCACUGCUAAGUCACCCCCCCCCCCCCAAUUUCCAGACCACCCACACGCAUUCAGAACCCAGCCAACCUGAUCCCCAUCUCCCUCAUCCCCUCGCAUCCUUUCUCCUGUGCACUCUAGAACGCUAGAUCAAUCUGCAACAAGCUGCCAACUAUCCACGACCCCUUUAUCUCCCACUCUUUUAACCUUCUCGCCAUCACUGACUGAAACCUGGCUCUCCUCCUCUUACACCACCUUCCCUGCUGUCCUCUCCUAUGGAGGCCUCUUUUUCACCCACAUGGUCAGAGUGGAGGUAUGGGCAUACUUCUAUCCCCAAACUGCACCUUUCUUGUCAUCCUACCUGAGCCCUCCCUGACCUCCACCUUUGAGGUACACACUAUCCGCCUCUUCUACCCCAUUCACCUUCGUGUGGCAGUGAUCUACCGCCUCCCCUCGCUGCUGUUCACCUUUCCUUGACAACUUUGCUGCCCGGCUUCCCUACUUUCUCUCCUCUGACCUCCCCUCUAUCAUCCUCGGUGACUUUAACAUCCCUAUUGACAUCACCAAUGUGGCUUCCACUAAUCUUCUUGCCCUUUCCACCUCCUUUGGACUUUCUCAAUGGACCUCCACCUCUUCUCACAAUCUCGGCCACUCCCUCGACCUUGUCUUCACCCACCGAUAUGAUCUCUCUGAUUUCUCAAACUCUUUCUUACCCCUCUCUGACCACCAUCUGCUUUCUUUUACCCUCUCAUCUUCCCUUCUCCUCUCCACGCCCAGACCCACCAUCACCAGACGCAAUCUUGGGUCUCUCGACCCCGCUAUACUGUCCUCCCUUGAGACUUUCCUUUCUCCUCUUUCCACUAUGACGUGUCCCAACCAGGCAGCCUCCUUCUAUAACUCUUCCCUUACCACUGCUGUUGACUCUGUGGCCCCCCUCUCCUCUGUCCCCCUCCCCCGCUCCAAACCCCAACCCCAGCACACCAAACUAACACAAUUCUUAUAAAAAUGUUCACGCUCCGGAGAACGCUCCAAUCUCACUCUCUGGCGGACUUCCUCCAUUUCAAGUUUAUUCUCUCCUUACAGCUCUGCUCUUUCUCUUGCCAAGCAAUCCUUUUUCCAAGUACUCAUUUCUUCUCAGUCCUCCAGUCCACGCUGUCUUUUUGAAACUUUCAACACUCUCCUUCACCCCCCUUCCCCUCCCCUCCCAUCCUUCCUCACUGCCACUGACUUUGCCUCUUUCUUCGUCACCAAAAUUGAGGAUAUCCAACACGACAUCUCCUCCCAUCACCCCUCUGCUGCCCCCCAGCCCCUAUCAUCUUUCCCCUCCAUCUAUACCACCCUGUCCUCCUUCCGUCCCACUUCAGACAAGGAAGUCCACUUCCUCAUCUUAUCUUCCCCCCUCAACCUGCCCCCUGAACCACCUCCCCUCCCAUCUUCCUCGCUCCCUCUCCCCCACUGCCUGCUCCCACCUUACUCACCUCUUUAACCUAUCGCUCUCUAUCAGCAUCUUUUCCUCAUAUAUAGCUGUACCUGGGAAUACAUUUUAUGAAUGCAGUAAAUAUUAAAGGCUGUGCAUCAUAAAUAGUUAAAAAUUGAAUAACUACAAUAAGUUUUCUUUCGCUUGCAGCAAAAACUUAGGUUGUGUCACAAUCUUGUGUUUUGGGAAUGCAUGCCCCUCAAUUCCAGGAUGCACAACAGUAAAACCCCUUUCACACAAAAAACGAAAAUACCGACUAUCCUCCCCCUCAUAUUCGCAAUUGUCAUUGAACCCCUCGCAAAUCGCAUUUGGGUUAAUCCUGACAUCUCGGGGGUUUAUAUCAACCAUACUCAAUACACCAUCUCCCUCUUCGCCGAUGUUAUCCUUUUGACUCUAACGAACCCGACUAUUUCCCUUCCGAAUCUCUUCCGAUAACUAUCCACAUAUGGCAAUCUCUCGGGAUAUAAAAUUAACCAGACAAAAUCUGAAGCCCUCUCCUUACACAUCCCCAAACUAACUAAGUCUCAGUUACAAGAGAAUUUUAACUUUUCCUGGAGCAGACACUCGCUCAAAUAUCUAGGGGUCUUCAUCACUAAAUCUUACAGUUUCCUUUACAGGGCUAAUUAUCCCCCGCUCAUCACAUCAAUCCUUAAUGAUAUCCAUCAAUGGGAAUCUUACUUUCUCUCAUGGGUAGGACGAAUUAACUCAAUAAAACUGAACACCCUCCCCAAACUUCUAUACUUGUUCCAGACGCUUCCAAUCUCGAUACCCCCUCGGACUCUUAAUACUCUCUAAUCUUCUUUGUGCAAAUUCAUAUGGACCCAUAAAAAACCUAGAAUCCGGUGGGAUAUUUUAGCUAAACACUCUCGGAACAGCAGUCUAGGCCUUCCCAUCCUUCAGCGUUAUUAUAAUGCGACCAGGUUGAGCCAAAUGAUUGCCUGGCAUGUCCCAAAGCAUACCAAAAGAUGGGUUGACCUGGAGAGUGAUCUAAUGGUAGUCCCAUUGAUCUCUUACUUGCCUUGGCUCCCUCGAAAACAACACUCCCCACCCCACUGCCCUUCUCCCACAACAGAAUUCACACUUAAACAUUGGCAGAACCUGAACAAAAAAUUAAAAUUGUCUACCCAUCCCUCCUCUUUGACUCCCAUCUGGAGCAACCCAGCAUUUCCCCCGGGACUCUCUCAAGGAAUGGCCCACCCUUGGAUCUCGGCAGGUGUUACUAGAAUCCACCAUUUCACAGGGACACACUCCAUUAAAUUAUUAUCCAUUUUGCAAACUACAUAUGAUCUACCCAACUCCCUGUUUUAUCAAUACCUACAUAUCCGCCACUUUCACUCUUCUCUACACUUGCCAUUCCCUCUACCGGUCCCCUCACCUCUCGAGAGACUCUGCAUUUACAAUUCUACUGACAAGGGCACUAUCUCUCUUCUCUACAAAAAUACCCUCAACCCUGAACCUCCCCCUCUUGAACCGCAUGAGCUAGCAUGGGAAGCGGAUCUAGGGUAUCACCUUGGGGAGGAAGUUGGGACACAAUCCACACUGCGAUCUCACAAUACUCCAUCAGCGUAGCCAUUCAUGAAAACUCAUACAAAAUAUACACAAGAUGGUAUUUGGUACCGGAUCGGUUGCAUAGGAUCUAUCCUGAUACCUCCAACCUUUGCUAGAGGAACUGCGGUCAAGUAGGCACGUUUUAUCAUAUUUGGUGGACCUGCCCGGUGAUUGCUCAAUAUUGGGCGAUGGUCCGCAAGCUCCUCUCUCAAUUAAUUGAUUUGCCAGCGCCUCUUUCACCCACGAACCUCCUCCUUUGCACACCACCCAAUUAAAUUUCUAAAGACUCGAAAAACCUGAUCCUUUUUAUCUCUUGCGCAGCUAAAUUUCAAAAUAGCACGUAAUUGGAAGAAUCCCGAAGCUCCCAACCGCCAGGCAUUUACGAAUAGAAUCUGGUUUGUCGCAAACAUGGAGUAUAUGACCAGUCUCCGCCAAAACAGUACAAAAAUUCCACUCUAUCUGGCUCCCCUGGUACAUAUACCAUGACCACCCCCUUCCUGGAUUAAACUAAUUAUAGACUCAGCUCUAUAACUAUUAUACCUCCCCCUACACCCCCCCUCCUUUUUUUUCUCUCUCUUCCUCCCCCUCCCCUCAUUCCCUCUCUGCCUCUCAGACCCCCGACUCUUCGGAGAACCUCUUCUUUUUCUUUAUUUUCUUCUCUCUUCUAUAUUACUUGAUCUCUCUUUUCUGUUCCUCCCUUCCUACAUACUUUUCCUAUCUGCCCCGCCAAAUAUUUCCUGUCUCUAUUAUAGCUCGGAACCCCACGACCCCACUCCCUUUUUCUGUUCUCGUAUCUUCCUACCCCCUGAAAAUGUCUUACUAUAUAAGUCUCUAGUCUCUAUGUAUGAUGUUAAUACUUUACAUGUUCUUUCUUUUUUAUUACAUUCUUGGAGAAAUGUUAUAUGUCU